UGUAUGUUCCACUUAAUAGGAUAGUGACCU
rnacentral:piRNA from 1 species